UACGUAGGGGGCAGGCGUUGUCCGGAAUCAUUGGGCGUAAAGAGCGUGUAGGCGGCCAGAAAAGUCCGCUGUGAAAACUCGAGGCUCAACUUCGAGCUGUCGGUGGAAACUUUCUGGCUAGAGUCCGGAAGAGGAGAAUGGAAUUCCUGGUGUAGCGGUGAAAUGCGCAGAUAUCAGGAAGAACACCCGUGGCGAAGGCGGUUCUCUGGGCCGAUACUGACGCUGAGGAGCGAAAGCGUGGGGGAGCGAACAGG
rnacentral:rRNA from 1 species